rnacentral:rRNA from 1 species
UGGAUCAGUGGCGAACGGGUGAGUAACACGUGAGCAACCUGCCCCCUACUUCGGGAUAAGCCUUGGAAACGGGGUCUAAUACCGGAUAUGAACACUUGCCGCAUGGUGGGUGUUGGAAAGUUUUUCGGUGGGGGAUGGGCUCGCGGCCUAUCAGCUUGUUGGUGGGGUAAUGGCCUACCAAGGCGUCGACGGGUAGCCGGCCUGAGAGGGCGACCGGCCACACUGGGACUGAGACACGGCCCAGACUCCUACGGGAGGCAGCAGUGGGGAAUAUUGCACAAUGGGCGAAAGCCUGAUGCAGCGACGCCACGUGAGGGAUGACGGCCUUCGGGUUGUAAACCUCUUUCAGCAGGGAAGAAGCGAAAGUGACGGUACCUGCAGAAGAAGCGCCGGCUAACUACGUGCCAGCAGCCGCGGUAAUACGUAGGGCGCAAGCGUUGUCCGGAAUUAUUGGGCGUAAAGAGCUCGUAGGCGGUCUGUCGCGUCUGGUGUGAAAUCCCAUGGCUCAACUGUGGGCUUGCAUCGGGUACGGGCAGACUAGAGUGCUGUAGGGGAGACUGGAAUUCCUGGUGUAGCGGUGGAAUGCGCAGAUAUCAGGAGGAACACCGAUGGCGAAGGCAGGUCUCUGGGCAGUUACUGACGCUGAGGAGCGAAAGCAUGGGGAGCGAACAGGAUUAGAUACCCUGGUAGUCCAUGCCGU